UACGGAGGUGGCAAGCGUUGCUCGGAAUCACUGGGCGUAAAGGGCGCGUAGGCGGGGAGGUAAGUCGGGUGUGAAAUCCCUCGGCCCAACCGAGGAACUGCGCCCGAGACUGCUUCUCUUGAGUCCCGGAGAGGAAGGUGGAAUUCCCGGUGUAGCGGUGAAAUGUGUAGAGAUCGGGAGGAACACCGGUGGCGAAGGCGGCCUUCUGGACGGUGACUGACGCUGAGGCGCGAAAGCGUGGGGAGCAAACGGGAUUAGAUACCCCCGUAGUCC
rnacentral:rRNA from 1 species